AGUCGACGGCAGCACGGGAGCAAUCCUGGUGGCGAGUGGCGAACGGGUGAGUAAUGUAUCGGAACGUACCUUUCAGUGGGGGAUAACGUAGCGAAAGUUACGCUAAUACCGCAUAUUCUGUGAGCAGGAAAGCAGGGGAUCGCAAGACCUUGCGCUGAUUGAGCGGCCGAUAUCAGAUUAGCUAGUUGGUGAGGUAAAGGCUCACCAAGGCGACGAUCUGUAGCGGGUCUGAGAGGAUGAUCCGCCACACUGGAACUGAGACACGGUCCAGACUCCUACGGGAGGCAGCAGUGGGGAAUUUUGGACAAUGGGCGCAAGCCUGAUCCAGCAACGCCGCGUGCAGGACGAAGGCCUUCGGGUUGUAAACUGCUUUUGUACGGAACGAAAAGGUCUGCCCUAAUACGGCGGGCUCAUGACGGUACCGUAAGAAUAAGCACCGGCUAACUACGUGCCAGCAGCCGCGGUAAUACGUAGGGUGCAAGCGUUAAUCGGAAUUACUGGGCGUAAAGCGUGCGCAGGCGGUUUUGUAAGACAGAUGUGAAAUCCCCGGGCUCAACCUGGGACCUGCAUUUGUGACUGCAAAGCUAGAGUAUGGCAGAGGGGGGUAGAAUUCCACGUGUAGCAGUGAAAUGCGUAGAGAUGUGGAGGAAUACCGAUGGCGAAGGCAGCCCCCUGGGUUAACACUGACGCUCAUGCACGAAAGCGUGGGGAGCAAACAGGAUUAGAUACCCUGGUAGUCCACGCCCUAAACGAUGUCAACUAGUUGUCGGAGGGGGAGACCUCUUUGGUAACGCAGCUAACGCGUGAAGUUGACCGCCUGGGGA
rnacentral:rRNA from 1 species